AAUUGAUGGCUAAAAUAUUCGUUGCGUGUACCUGUCAUCAUCGUCCAGCAGCUGAAAAUAAUAACAAGACGAAAUUAACAAUUAGUCAUCAUCCUGGUCGCCAUCGCAUUUUUCCGUCGAUUUUGCGCGAGUGUGCUGCUAUUUCCCGUGAGUUCGGCUGUUCCCCGGAAGAUAUAAACGGUGCAGUUUUCCAGAGCGAGGCCAAACCUUGUGGCACAGGAAGCCGUUCCCUUGGAAGCACUGCAAAGAUUCUUCGGGAGUUAAAGUUGGAUGAACCAGCAGAGGAACCAGCGAUCAAAGGAAUCCACAGGGCCAAAAGGAUCGUACGAAAGGGUCGGAUUGUGGUAAAUACUAGUUAAUUAGCCUGUAAACAACAUACCACAUACGAGCCACUUUUCCAGAGAGCCGACAUAAUUAGAUGACUGUUAUUGGGUGAAGCCACACCUUUCGGACGAGCAAAUAGAAACUGGCAUACGAGCGUGAGCAUACCAGCCUGAAGAGCAAAGCCUCAACCACU